GUGGCGAACGGGUGAGUAACACGUGAGUAACCUGCCCUGGACUCUGGGAUAAGCGUUGGAAACGACGUCUAAUACCGGAUAGGACCCUGGACCGCAUGGUUUGGGGUGGAAAGUUUUUUCGGUCUGGGAUGGACUCGCGGCCUAUCAGCUUGUUGGUGAGGUAAUGGCUCACCAAGGCGUCGACGGGUAGCCGGCCUGAGAGGGUGACCGGCCACACUGGGACUGAGACACGGCCCAGACUCCUACGGGAGGCAGCAGUGGGGAAUAUUGCACAAUGGGCGAAAGCCUGAUGCAGCAACGCCGCGUGCGGGAUGACGGCCUUCGGGUUGUAAACCGCUUUUAGUAAGGAAGAAGGGGAGCUUGCUCCUUGACGGUACUUGCAGAAAAAGGACCGGCUAACUACGUGCCAGCAGCCGCGGUAAUACGUAGGGUCCGAGCGUUGUCCGGAAUUAUUGGGCGUAAAGAGCUCGUAGGCGGUUUGUCGCGUCUGCUGUGAAAUCUGGAGGCUCAACCUCCAGCCUGCAGUGGGUACGGGCAGACUAGAGUGCGGUAGGGGAGAAUGGAAUUCCUGGUGUAGCGGUGGAAUGCGCAGAUAUCAGGAGGAACACCGAUGGCGAAGGCAGUUCUCUGGGCCGUAACUGACGCUGAGGAGCGAAAGCGUGGGGAGCGAACAGGAUUAGAUACCCUGGUAGUCCACGCCGUAAACGUUGGGCGCUAGAUGUGGGGACCUUUCCACGGUUUCCGUGUCGUAGCUAACGCA
rnacentral:rRNA from 1 species